CCCGCAAUUUUGAUUCAUAGUUAUGAGUUUCGCUUGUUCAUGUAGCAGUGCCAGCAGAAGUAGGCUUAAACACUCAGUCUGUAAACCAAAGAUGUAGUACCACCCUUUUUUUUUUCUUUCUCAAGACUGAUUUACGUUUUCUUUCUUCUAGUCCAGUUUUAGGUUUUAAGAUUGGACGUUUUUUUUACCUUCAACGUGGGUAUUUUAGUUUGGUACAAUUUUUUAUGAGAAACAAAAAAUAGCUC
rnacentral:lncRNA from 1 species